UCAAAUAUAAUUACAUUUCCCGCCUCAACUACACUAGCAUGCUAUUCCGCCACAUACUCCUCCACCACAGCCGCCGUUUCUCCUCCUCUGCUGCAAUAACUCCUCCCUUAAUCACUCCUACACUCCUCAAACAAUGCAAUUCAGUUUCUCAGGUAAACCUUAUCCACCAACAAACACUUGUCCAAGGCCUAAUUACCCAUUUCUCCACCAAUCUCAUUUCCACUUACAUUGCUAUCAGUUCUCCUUCCCAUGCCCUCUCCCUCCUCCAAAACCUCACUCCCUCUCCUUCCGCUGUCUACUUCUGGAAUGCACUGAUUCGCUGUUCCAUCCGACCCGGACUUUUGAACCAUUCCCUUGCUCUUUUCCGUAACAUGUGGAGACUGGGCUGGACUCCUGAUAAUUAUACUUUUCCUUUGGUUUUUAAGGCUUGUGGGGAUUUAAUGUGUUGUAGACUUGGUGCUUCGAUUCAUGGUGUUGUUUUUUUAACCGGGUUUGAGUCUAAUGUGUUUGUUUGUAAUGCUAUUGUGGCGAUGUAUGGAAGGUGUGGUGAAUUGGACUGUGCGCGCAAACUGUUUGAUGAAAUGUGUGAAAGAAGGGUGUAUGAUUUGGUUUCGUGGAAUUCGAUUGUCGCUGUUUAUGUGCAAAGAGGGGAUUGUAAGAAUGCGUUGAGGUUGUUUGAUAGAAUGUGUAAACUGGGUGAUAUUGAUAUGAGGCCGGAUGUUGUUAGUCUUGUGAAUGUGCUUCCUGCUUGCGCAUCGAUGGGUGCGUGGUUGCAUGGUAAAGCAGUGCAUGGAAUUGCAGUGAGGAGUGGGUCGUUUGAGGAUUUGUUUGUGGGUAAUGCUUUGGUGGAUAUGUAUGCGAAGUGUGGAAUGGUGGAUGAGGCAAGCAAGGUUUUUGACAGGAUUAAGGAGAAGGAUGUGGUAUCUUGGAAUGCUAUGGUUAAUGGGUAUUCACAGAUUGGUAGGUUUGAGGAUGCUCUUGGUUUGUUUGAGAAGAUGAGGGAGGAGAAUAUUGAGUUGAAUGUUGUGUCUUGGAGUGCUGUUAUUGCAGGAUUUGCACAGAGAGGACUUGGGUGUGAAACUUUGGAUGUGUUUCGGGAAAUGCAAGUUUGUGGGUCGAAGCCAAAUGAGGUUACCCUUGUGUCUCUUCUUUCUGGUUGUGCAUCGGUUGGAGCAUUGCUUCAUGGGAAGGAGACUCAUUGUUAUGCCAUAAAAUGCAUGUUGAACUUUGAGGGGAGUGAUCUUGAGGAUGAUCUUAUGGUGAUUAAUGCUUUAAUUGACAUGUAUGCAAAGUGCAAAAGUAUCAAUGUGGCACGCACCAUGUUUGAUUCCAUAGAACCAAAGGAUAAGGAUGUGGUGAGUUGGACUGUUAUGAUUGGUGGAUAUGCCCAGCAUGGUGAAGCCAAUGACGCAUUAGAAUUGUUUUCCUGGAUUUUCAAACAGGAUGGAUUAGUAAAGCCGAAUUGCUUCACCAUAUCUUGUGCCCUAAUUGCAUGUGCUCGUUUGGCUGCACUGAGGCUUGGUAGACAAAUUCAUGCUUACAUAUUACGCAAUCAUUUUGACUCCGCCUUUCUUUAUGUGGCCAAUUGUCUCAUUGAUAUGUAUGCAAAAUCUGGAGAUAUUGAUGUUGCUAGAUUUGUGUUUGACAAUUUGAAGCAGAAGAAUUUUGUUUCUUGGACAUCCCUAAUGACAGGUUAUGGUAUGCAUGGCCGUGGUAAAGAAGCUCUUGAGGUUUUUGACGAGAUGAGGAGAGUGGGCCUUCAGUCUGAUGGUGUAACCUUGCUUGUUGUGCUCUAUGCUUGCAGCCAUUCAGGAAUGAUUGAUCAGGGGAUUAAAUUUUUUAACAGCAUGAGCAAGGAAUUUGGGGUUAUUCCUGGUCAAGAACACUAUGCUUGCAUGGUUGACCUACUGGGUCGUGCUGGUCGCUUAAAUGAAGCUAUGGAGCUCAUUGAAGGUAUGCAAAUGGAACCAAGCUCAAUAGUGUGGGUGGCAUUGCUUAGUGGCUGCAGGAUCCAUGCAAAUGUGGAAUUAGGGGAACAUGCUGCAAAACAACUGUUGGAAUUGAACUCAGAAAAUGAUGGAUCUUAUACACUUCUUUCAAACAUAUAUGCCAAUGCCAGGCGCUGGAAAGAUGUGGCCAGGGUCAGAUCUUUGAUGAAAAAUAGUGGAAUUAGGAAGAGACCUGGCUGCAGUUGGGUCCAGGGAAAGAAAGGCACUACAACCUUCUAUGUUGCAGACAAGACUCAUCCACAGUCCAAGCAGAUAUAUGAAAUCCUGAGAGGCCUGACUCAACGGAUUAAAGUCCUUGGAUAUGUUCCAGAGACCAGCUUUGCACUUCAUGAUGUGGAUGAUGAAGAGAAAGUUGACCUUCUUUUUGAACAUAGUGAGAAGUUGGCCCUUGCCUAUGGCAUCUUAAUAUCAGCUCCAGGGGCACCCAUCCGAAUCACCAAGAACUUGCGUGUCUGUGGAGAUUGCCACAAUGCCAUCACCUACAUAUCCAUGAUCAUUGACCAUGAAAUCAUAUUGAGAGACUCAAGCCGCUUCCAUCAUUUCAAGAAAGGGUCUUGCUCCUGCAGUGGUUAUUGGUGAUGCUGGAUUAUAGAUGUACAGUCAACUUUUUCCCCUUUUGAGAACUACAAGAGGGAAUAAUCAUAUAGAUACCAGACGCGCUCCCAUUGAUUAGAAGCAGCAGCUCCAAGUCAACUGGAUUAAUGGAAAAGGUUGCUUAAAUAAUAAGCAAGAUUCAAAUGGGAGUGAGCAAAGCAGAAAGUCCUUUUCAGCUCAGCAGCAGCAAAACGGUGAAGCGUUAAGAAAGCAAGAAAUAAACCAAAUUAACAGUCUUUUUUGUCUAAGGUAUUUUGACAUACAAAAUCCUUUCUUUUCUUUCCCUGGGUGUGUAGAUACCGGAAAAUAAGAAGGCGGUUGAUAAACUGAUAAAGCUACUCCUGCUAAUAAGGACCAUCCUGUC